UACGUUAAGUUCAAAGAAUUUUUCAUUUGAGCCAAAAAUAAUAUUUAAAAAAAAAAGGGCCAGGAUGCCUUUGAUGCGAAACCUUAUCCUUGAAGAUAUUUAUAAACCUCGGUUGAAACUCAAAAUCAUUGAAGUUUACCUUACUCCAAUAUGACUUUCUGAUAAAAGAAAUUCUUAAGUAAAGUUAUUUGGACUCAGAGAUUCUAACUUGAUAACAACCUUAGUCUAUUAAAUAAAAAUAUGCUAAGAUAGGAAGUGUUGCUGAUUUUUUAGGAGUCCAUAACAUUAAUGCCCUGCUCUAUAAGUACUUUGCUAGCCAUUAGAGUAAAAUACUAAAUGUCAAAUAAUAUCCUUUUUAGUCUCAGAUAUGGGUUUGAUUAUACAGUCCCCAAACGGAGACAAACAAACAAAUGACACAAAAUAAUCACGAAUGACAGAAACAAAAGAAGAGUAAAAACGCCAUAGGCAUCCCCAAGCGUUUUUGCUUAUUUUUUUUUGCUAUCCGAUGCGUUCUAAGGAAGACGGUAUGAGAUGUGAUGACUCCAUGCUCGGGUAGUGUUGAGUCUCGAGUGAGACUCGAUUUGCUCCAAGUGCAUAUGCAAAGACAAACAAAUAAGAAUUAGAAGAAAAUGGAAUCCGAUUCUUUAUACUACAUAAGAGAUAAAUAAAGAGGUAAAAAUCAUAAUAUAACUCAUCUCAUAGUAGUUUAUAAUAUGAAACACUCCACAUAAUAUUGUUUUCUUCAAGAAGAAAUAUUAGGUUUGUAUUCAACAGCUCUAGCCAUCAAGGUUCAAUAUUUAACUUAAAUGGCUAAACUUUAUGUCAUGAAAAUAUUAUGACUAAGUUACAAUAUCUACCUAAUACUAUUCAAUUAAACAGUCACCUAUGGUCACUCCUAGAAGCAAAGUAAGUUUCUUAUGAAAAAAAAAUGACUCAGGCUAAACAAAAUGAAUAAGUUAGUCAAGCAUGGGUUAUAUCUUCUAACGAAAUUCAUGAGAUAAUUCUUAUAGCAGUAAAGUAUGAGUCCUACAAUAUCUAGAUUUGACUAAUCCUAGAGUUACAUUUUCUGUUACUUGAAAACAACAAAAGGAAAUGUAUUAGCACUUCAAACAGAACAUGUCUCUUCUCUGAUCUUUAGAAUAAGCAUUUACAUAUUAAUAUUACCUCUUUAAUUACAUAAGCAAUGUUAUACUCAUAGGCAACUUUAUACAUUAAUUCUACCAAAAAUUCUUCUAGCUCAUUGUAAAAUAAAGUAAUAAUUCAAAUUACAUAACUAGAAAGUUAUUUUUUAACAUGGUGAUUUCCAUGGCAUUUAAACUAGAAGAACAACAAACUUGGAAUCAUAUUUUGAAUACGAAACGACCACAAUAAUUAUAGAGUUAACUCAGAGGAAGAAAAGUUUUAGCUAAUAAAUACACGCUAGAUAAAGAUUUUAAACUGAUCACUUUAAUUAAAGAAAGAUACAGAUUGAUGGUAACACCUUAAAGCAAAAAAGGCAUAAUAUUAACAACUCCAUACUAUCAUCAGCUAUCUAUUUAUAUAAAUACUUAGUCAAACUCUUACUUUCGUUUAAAUUUUAUUCGAGCAGAAUAACUAAGUACAUAAUUUCUACACACCAAUUAACUCUAAAUCACAAUUCACACAUACAAUAAACUACAGCUCAUUCAAACAAAAAUACAAUCAUUUUAGAUAUUCAAAGAAGAAGAAAAAAAAUGAGAGAAAAAAAAUACUUCAGUUACUGACCUUUUUGCAGGCAGUGAACUAAGGUUUUUGAGGUUUCAGAUCUACUCCGCGAACAAGAUUGACGGUAGAAUCAGUUUUAACAAAAUGAAGCGAAUUUAAAAUAACAAUGAUUAGUAGUGUUAAGAGAGUAGUAAGAUAGAUGAGAUUUUUAUGGUUCUCCCCGCUUGGCUUCGGCUGAGACUUAGAGAAGUAUUUAUAGGCGAUAAAAAGGUAGGGUUUCUGAAGAGCGGGAACUUGAAAUUUCGAAUUCGAAAUCUUGGUCAACAUAUCCGUUUGAAUCCUAACGUUGGAGGUUUGGACAGACUUCAUCUUCACGUGAUGCUUCAGGUCAUGCCCGAAAUGGUGAAAUUUGGUCUGAUCCUUGAAGAUUCACCACAAAAAGAGAGAUAAAAGAAAACAUCAAGACAAAAAUAUGAGAUAGAGGGAAAUGACACAUGCACAAAAAAAAGAUCUAGCAUAUUCUGAUGUAGAGGAUGGAGAAGAUUGUAUUUUGUUCAUAAGAGGAAAGGAGAGGAAGGGUGGGGGCUGACAAGUCUUGGAAGAAACAAAUGGGACCUAAUUUAUUUCUAGGUUUUGGUUAAG
rnacentral:lncRNA from 1 species